rnacentral:lncRNA from 1 species
GUCGAAAUUGACACUUCUGGAAAUCCUGAUCCGAACAAUUAUCCAGCGAUAAUUGUUUAGUUGUGUAAUCUUGUGUUUGUUGUCAAGACAUCCAAAUUGAUGUGUUUUGUGGUAGCGGGUGACUCGUGGUACGAGUCGGUGAGUUUCAAGACGAUUAGUCGGUCUCGACAGCGUCCCGGUGUGAUUUUCGAGACUUCCGGCGAGUUACGGUGAUCGGUUUUAAGAAACCGAUUUUGAGGAAUUGUGUGGGGUUCGUGAGUUGGCUAUUUUAGAUUGGUGGGUUGGUUACUAACCCGGUGG